UUGUCCAAAUUAACUUAAAUGUGACGUGCCGUUGCAUGUCAGGGAUGGCCCUCGUUCAUCGCUGAACUGAUGUAGCAAUAGCAGCCAGAAACAUGCUUAUGAGUAUAAAAGAGCAAUCGUUAAUGACGCCUUACCUACAGUUUGAUCGCAGCCAGUGGGCUGCGCUUCGCGAUUCU
rnacentral:sRNA from 1 species